UUGUUGCGGUUAAAAAGCUCGUAGUUGGAUUUUGGGCGCAGGCGGCCGGUCCGUCGCAAGGCGUGUACUGGCCGUCCUGGCCUCACCUCCGGUUCUCCGCCGGUGCCCUUGACUGAGUGUCGGCGGCGGCCGGAACGUUUACUUUGAAAAAAUUAGAGUGUUCAAAGCAGGCGAUUCGCCUGAAUAAUGGUGCAUGGAAUAAUGGAAUAGGACCUCGGUUCUAUUUUGUUGGUUUUCGGAGCGCGAGGUAAUGAUUAAGAGGGACAGACGGGGGCAUUCGUACUGUGCCGUUAGAGGUGAAAUUCUUGGAUCGGCGCAAGACGAACGACUGCGAAAGCAUUUGCCAAGAAUGUUUUCUUUAAUCAAGAGCGAAAGUCAGAGGUUCGAAGACGAUCAGAUACCGUCCUAGUUCUGACUAUAAACGAUGCCAACUAGCGAUCGGGGGGCGUUAGUUUUACGACCUCUCCGGCAGCUUGCGGGAAACCAAAGUCUUUGGGUUCCGGGGGAAGUAUGGUUGCAAAGCUGAAACUUAAAGGAAUUGACGGAAGGGCACCACCAGGAGUGGAGCCUGCGGCUUAAUUUGACUCAACACGGGAAAUCUCACCCGGCCCGGACACAGUGAGGAUUGACAGAUUGAGAGCUCUUUCUUGAUUCUGUGGGUGGUGGUGCAUGGCCGUUCUUAGUUGGUGGAGCGAUUUGUCUGGUUAAUUCCGAUAACGAACGAGACUCUGGCUUGCUAACUAGUUACGCGACCCAAUCGGUCGGCGUCUAACUUCUUAGAGGGACUAGUGGCGUUUAGCCACACGAGAUUGAGCAAUAACAGGUCUGUGAUGCCCUUAGAUGUUCGGGGCCGCACGCGCGCUACACUGACCGGAUCAGCAUGUGCUCGCCUUGGCCGACAGGUCUGGGUAACCCGCUGAACCCCGGUCGUGCUAGGGAUAGGGAAUUGCAAUUAUUUCCCUUGAACGAGGAA
rnacentral:rRNA from 1 species